rnacentral:rRNA from 1 species
CCUACGGGGGGCAGCAGUGAGGAAUAUUGGUCAAUGGCUGGAAGGCUGAACCAGCCAUGCCGCGUGAAGGUCAGUGCCCUAUGGGCGUUAAACCUCUUUUGUGCGGGAGCAAUAAUGGUCACGUGUGGCCAGACGAGAGUACCGUACGAAUAAGCAUCGGCUAACCCCGUGCCAGCAGCCGCGGUAAUACGGGGGAUGCAAGCGUUAUCCGGAUUUAUUGGGUUUAAAGGGUGCGUAGGCUGUGAGGUAAGUCAGCGGUGAAAUGCCCCCGCUCAACGGGGUGAAGUGCCAUUGAUACUGCCUGACUGGAGUGCGGAUGGGGUAGGAGGAAGGUGUGGUGUAGCGGUGAAAUGCAUAGAUAUCACACAGAACACCGAUUGCGAAGGCAUCUCACGAGUCCGCGAUUGACGCUGAUGCACGAAAGCGUGGGUAUCAAACAGGAUUAGAUACCCCUGUAGUC